GAUGUAGCUCAGUGGAAGAGAACCUGCUUUGUAUGCAAAAGGUCCCAGGUUCAUUCCCAGGUGUAUCCA